CCUCGGGAGGCAGCAGUGGGGAAUUUUCCGCAAUGGGCGAAAGCCUGACGGAGCAACGCCGCGGUGAGGGAUGAAGGCCUCUGGGCUGUAAACCUCUUUUAUCAAGGAAGAAGAUCUGACGGUACUUGAUGAAUAAGCCACGGCUAAUUCCGUGCCAGCAGCCGCGGUAAUACGGGAGUGGCAAGCGUUAUCCGGAAUUAUUGGGCGUAAAGCGUCCGCAGGCGGCCCUUCAAGUCUGCUGUUAAAAAGUGGAGCUUAACUCCAUCAUGGCAGUGGAAACUGUUGGGCUUGAGUGUGGUAGGGGCAGAGGGAAUUCCCGGUGUAGCGGUGAAAUGCGUANAUAUCGGGAAGAACACCAGUGGCGAAGGCGCUCUGCUGGGCCAUCACUGACGCUCAUGGACGAAAGCCAGGGGAGCGAAAGG
rnacentral:rRNA from 1 species